rnacentral:rRNA from 1 species
CGUAGGUGGCAAGCGUUGUCCGGAUUUAUUGGGUUUAAAGGGUGCGUAGGCGGCUUUGUAAGUCAGUGGUGAAAUACUCCAGCUCAACUGGAGAGGUGCCAUUGAUACUGCAGAGCUAGAGUACUGAUGAGGUAGGCGGAAUGGACGGUGUAGCGGUGAAAUGCUUAGAUAUCGUCCAGAACACCGAUAGCGAAGGCAGCUUACUAAAGAGUAACUGACGCUGAGGCACGAAAGUGUGGGGGAUCAAACAGGAUUAGAUACCCUGGUAGUCCACACUGUAAACGUUGAUCACUAGAUGUUGGCGAUACACUGCCAGCGUUCCAGCAAAAGCGAUAAGUGAUCCACCUGGGGAGUACGCCCGCAAGGGUG